CUUGAACGCUGGCGGCAGGCCUAACACAUGCAAGUCGAACGGUAGCACAGAGAGCUUGCUCUUGGGUGACGAGUGGCGGACGGGUGAGUAAUGUCUGGGAGACUGCCUGAUGGAGGGGGAUAACUACUGGAAACGGUAGCUAAUACCGCAUAACGUCGCAAGACCGAAGAGGGGGACCUUCGGGCCUCUUGCCAUCAGAUGUGCCCAGAUGGGAUUAGCUAGUAGGUGGGGUAAUGGCUCACCUAGGCGACGAUCCCUAGCUGGUCUGAGAGGAUGACCAGCCACACUGGAACUGAGACACGGUCCAGACUCCUACGGGAGGCAGCAGUGGGGAAUAUUGCACAAUGGGCGCAAGCCUGAUGCAGCCAUGCCGCGUGUAUGAAGAAGGCCUUCGGGUUGUAAAGUACUUUCAGCGAGGAGGAAGGUGGUGAGGUUAAUAACCUUAUCAAUUGACGUUACUCGCAGAAGAAGCACCGGCUAACUCCGUGCCAGCCGCCGCGGUAAGAC
rnacentral:rRNA from 1 species